rnacentral:snRNA from 1 species
GUGCUCGCUUUGGCAGCACACAUAGUAAAAUUGAAACAAUACAGAAUAGAUUAGGAUGGCCCCAGCGCAAGGAUGACAUGCAAAUUUGUGAAGUGUUAAAAAAUUCU